CACGUAGGGUGCGAGCGUUGUCCGGAAUUAUUGGGCGUAAAGAGCUCGUAGGCGGUGUGUCGCGUCGGCCGUGAAAACCUGCAGCUUAACUGUGGGCUUGCGGUCGAUACGGGCAUCACUGGAGUUCGGCAGGGGAGACUGGAAUUCCUGGUGUAGCGGUGAAAUGCGCAGAUAUCAGGAGGAACACCGGUGGCGAAGGCGGGUCUCUGGGCCGAUACUGACGCUGAUGCGCGAAAGCUAGGGGAGCAAACGGG
rnacentral:rRNA from 1 species